rnacentral:rRNA from 1 species
GAUGAACGCUGGCGGCGUGCCUAAUACGUGCAAGUCGAGCGAACAGACGAGGAGCUUGCUCCUCUGACGUUAGCGGCGGACGGGUGAGUAACACGUGGAUAACCUACCUAUAAGACUGGGAUAACUUCGGGAAGCCGGAGCUAAUACCGGAUAAUAUAUUGAACCGCAUGGUUCAAUAGUGAAAGACGGUGUUGCUGUCACUUAUAGAUGGAUCCGCGCCGCAUUAGCUAGUUGGUAAGGUAACGGCUUACCAAGGCAACGAUGCGUAGCCGACCUGAGAGGGUGGUCGGCCACACUGGAACUGAGACACGGUCCAGACUCCUACGGGAGGCAGCAGUAGGGAAUCUUCCGCAAUGGGCGAAAGCCUGACGGAGCAACGCCGCGUGAGUGAUGAAGGUCUUCGGAUCGUAAAACUCUGUUAUUAGGGAAGAACAAAUGUGUAAGUAACUAUGCACGUCUUGACGGUACCUAAUCAGAAAGCCACGGCUAACUACGUG